UACGUAGGGGGCUAGCGUUGUCCGGAAUCAUUGGGCGUAAAGCGCGUGUAGGCGGUUCGGUAAGUCUGCUGUGAAAGUCGGGGGCUCAACCCUCGAAUGCCGGUGGAUACUGUCGGACUAGAGUGCGGAAGAGGCGAGUGGAAUCCUGGUGUAGCGGUGAAAUGCGCAGAUAUCAGGAGGAACACCAAUUGCGAAGGCAGCUCGCUGGGACGUUACUGACGCUGAGACGCGAAAGCGUGGGGAGCAAACAGG
rnacentral:rRNA from 1 species